rnacentral:rRNA from 2 species
UGGGGAAUUUUGGACAAUGGGCGCAAGCCUGAUCCAGCCAUGCCGCGUGCAGGAUGAAGGCCUUCGGGUUGUAAACUGCUUUUGUACGGAACGAAACGGCCUUUUCUAAUAAAGAGGGCUAAUGACGGUACCGUAAGAAUAAGCACCGGCUAACUACGUG